UAUAGUGGGAUAAGUCAACAAUUGGGUCGGGCAGGUUGGCGAGUGAGCGGCGUUCGUUUAAGGCUAAGUUUUAAAUGGAUCGGCCAACUCGCGACGCGAAUGAUGGAAGCGAAAAGUGAAACAGGAAUUCGAUAAGCUUGCGGGAAAAUUUUUCUGAGAAAAGAUUGCGAAAAGUUGGACGGUAUAAAUACAAUGGGCAAAAGUCGGGGAGCCACUCCUCGAAUAAACACAGACGUUUCCCGGCUUCGUUGGCACGAGGAUGAGAAAAUUCGUAGCGUGGAACACGAAAAUGACCGCAAGAAUUUCUGCGUGCGGGGGUGGACCGCAGUUCCCGCCAGAAAAUGGAGGGAAUUUCGCGUUUUAUUCCAACGACAGGUAACGAGGACCACCAUUUAAGGGGAAUUUUUCUACGUGGAACGUGGUGGAUGGAAUGGAAAGUAACCAGAAAAAUUGUUUGACUUGUAAAUGCGCAAUCGUGUGCGGGAGGAGGGAGUGCACUAAUGCAUUCGUGGAAUAUUUUUCGAUUGCAGAGGUCGG